GCCAUGCAAGUCUCAGUACAUGCCUAACUAAGGUGAAACCGCAAAAGGCUCAUUAAAUCAGUUAUGGUUCCUUGGAUCUUAAACAGUUACUUGGAUAACUGUGGUAAUUCUAGAGCUAAUACAUGCAAACAAGUCCCGACCAGAGAUGGGAGGGACGCUUUUAUUAGAUCAAAACCGAUCGGCGUCCGGUUUCGGCCGGCGCCGUCUCUUUUGGUGACUCUGGAUAACUUUUAGCCGAUCGCACGGUCACAGUACCGGCGACGCAUCUUUCAAAUGUCUGACUUAUCAACUGUCGAUGGUAGCCUCUGCGCCUACCAUGGUUGUAACGGGUAACGGGGAAUCAGGGUUCGAUUCCGGAGAGGGAGCCUGAGAAACGGCUACCACAUCCAAGGAAGGCAGCAGGCGCGCAAAUUACCCACUCCCGGCACGGGGAGGUAGUGACGAAAAAUAACGAUACGGGACUCAUCCGAGGCCCCGUAAUCGGAAUGAGUACACUUUAAAUACUUUAACGAGUACCAAUUGGAGGGCAAGUCUGGUGCCAGCAGCCGCGGUAAUUCCAGCUCCAAUAGCGUAUAUUAAAGUUGUUGCGGUUAAAAAGCUCGUAGUUGGAUCUGUGUGCCACGCUGUCGGUUCACCGCCUGUCGGUGUCAACUGGCAUGUCUGUGGGACGUCCUGCCGGUGGCGGUACGGGCUGCCGGCGCUGCGUAGGGGCUCGCCCCCGAAGCACGCCGGCGUGUCCCGGUCCGCCGAUCCAAUCCCGCCGCGGUGCUCUUCACUGAGUGUCGAGGUGGGCCGGCACGUUUACUUUGAACAAAUUAGAGUGCUCAAAUCAGGUCGUAUUUAGGCCUGAAUACUG
rnacentral:rRNA from 1 species